rnacentral:rRNA from 1 species
AUUGAACGCUGGCGGCAUGCUUUACACAUGCAAGUCGGACGGCAGCACAGAGAAGCUUGCUUCUUGGGUGGCGAGUGGCGAACGGGUGAGUAAUAUAUCGGAACGUACCGAGUAAUGGGGGAUAACUAAUCGAAAGAUUAGCUAAUACCGCAUAUUCUCUGAGGAGGAAAGCAGGGGACCUUCGGGCCUUGCGUUAUUCGAGCGGCCGAUAUCUGAUUAGCUAGUUGGUGGGGUAAAGGCCUACCAAGGCGACGAUCAGUAGCGGGCCUGAGAGGAUGAUCCGCCACACUGGGACUGAGACACGGCCCAGACUCCUACGGGAGGCAGCAGUGGGGAAUUUUGGACAAUGGGCGCAAGCCUGAUCCAGCCAUGCCGCGUGUCUGAAGAAGGCCUUCGGGUUGUAAAGGACUUUUGUCAGGGAAGAAAAGGCUGUUGCUAAUAUCAAUAGCUGAUGACGGUACCUGAAGAAUAAGCACCGGCUAACUACGUG